rnacentral:rRNA from 1 species
GCCACGCCCGCUCAGUCAGAGUUUGAUCCUGGCUCAGAACGAACGCUGGCGGCAGGCUUAACACAUGCAAGUCGAGCGCACUCUUUUAGAGUGAGCGGCAAACGGGUGAGUAACGCGUGGGAAUCUACCCCUCUCUACGGAAUAACACAGAGAAAUUUGUGCUAAUACCGUAUACGUCCCUUUUGGGAGAAAGAUUUAUCGGAGAUGGAUGAGCCCGCGUUGGAUUAGCUAGUUGGUGAGGUAACGGCCCACCAAGGCGACGAUCCAUAGCUGGUCUGAGAGGAUGAUCAGCCACACUGGGACUGAGACACGGCCCAG